CACGCUGGCCGGCUGGGAGCUCGGCCACCUGUUGGGCCAGAACAAGUGCAGCCAUGAAAGUCACCCAAGUCCCUCUUCCUCCAGCAGCAAAUAACAGCUUGCAGAUGCCAUAGGUGCCAGCUGAGGCCCAGGCGGGACGGGCUGUAGGCAAUGGCUCCUCCGGGGCUGGGGCCACAGCGCAGUUAUUUAUAAGCUCUGGCUGCUGCCAGCCGUCCUGGAUCAGGCUGGUUUGUUUGAAUCUCUGGUGCCAAGUGUUUUCCUUUUUUUUCUUUUCCCAGUGAGAAUCUGAAUCUGAACAUCGCCGGGGAAACCCAGAAUCAAGUCACUGGAUCGAUUCUUGCUCAACACCCACCGUCAAGGCCUCAAAGGCUAAAGAAGAAAAAGAAUCACAUGAUCAUAUCAACAGAUGCAGAAAAAGCAUUUGACAAAAUCCAACACUCAUUCAAGAUUAAAGCUCCCAGCAAAUCAUUAAGAGGGGUACUUCCUCAACUUAAAAAACAUCUACAAAAAAACUACAGCUAACAUCAUACUUAACAGUGAUAAACUUGAAGCUUUCCGGCUACCAUCAAGAACAAGGCAAGGAUCUCCCCUCUCACUAGUCCUUUUCAACAUUUUGCUGCAAGUCCUGGCUAACGCAAUAAGACAAGAAAUGGGAGUAAAAGUUAUACAGAUUGGGAAGGAAGAAAUAAAACUGUAUUCACACAUGAUACGAUUUUCUCUGUAGAAAAUCUGAAAGGACCACCACCAACAACAAAAGUUCUUGGAAUUAACAGGCAAUUUUAGAAAAGCUGUAGGAUACAAAGUUAAUACAUAAAAUCCAAAAGUUUUCCUGUAUACCAGCAACAAAUGAGUGGAACUGAAGUUAAAAACAUAUCAUCAUUUACAUUAGUAGCCCCCCAGAUCUAUAUGAGGAAAACUACAAAAUUCUGAU